rnacentral:lncRNA from 1 species
CCAUGGAUUAAUAUUACAACCUAACCAUAGACUAGUUAAAGUAUACACGAGUUUACAAUACUACAUUUCAGGAGAGUUUAUACCAGCAAGGAAAGUAGAGAUGAUUACACUUUGACUCUAAAUUAUUAGUCAUUGCCAGCGGUGCCCUAUACAAAUAGAAUUUUGCGUAAAACCAUGGGCUGAAAGGAUAAUCUAGCAGCAAAUUUUGCAUCCCUAUAAUCCAUGGACAACAAUACCAAUACAAAUUUAACUACAUUUCAGGAGAGUUUAUACCAAAAAGGAAAGUGGAGAUGAUUACUCUUUGACUCUAAAUUAUUAAACAUUGCCAGUGGUGCCCUACACAGUCAGGGAAUUUGGCGUAAAACCAUGAGCUGAAAGGAUAAUCUAGAAGCAAAUUUUGCAUCCCUGUAAUCCAUAGACCACAAUACCAAUACAAAUUUAAUGGGCUGGUGAUACUUUUCAUUGUUGUGGACCACAAGCCCAGUAGAAAGAAACAAAGGAACUUCAAUGCCUCUGUUGCACUCACUCGCACAUGUUCGGGACAAAAUAAUUCAGAGGGUCUAAGCCUGGAGUGAAAAGUUAAAAUUAGGAGAUGCUUAAAGCAUAACAUAAUACAAACAGACCAAUAGUGAAGAGCCAUUUGCCAAAUGAUAUCACACUGCAUUAAAAAAAUAAUUUUCACUUCUCAAUUUCACCAAAAUUUAGACAUGAUAAUUCAAACUUUCUCUAGCAAGCUAAAGAUGCAAAAUUUACAUUUCAUGAUGAACCAAAAGAAAUAACAAAAGCUCACACUUGCAAAAUAUGAGACUAGCAUUCCACAAAACAAAUUUGCACAAAUUAAAAAGGAAAAAAAUGUGGAGUGCACAAAAAAAAUCACAAAAUAAAAACAAGAAUAGACCAAUUAACAGUGAAGGAAAAACAACUGAAAUACUUCAAAAUUGAACAGUUACAAGUAGUACCUUUGCAACUAUGAUCUGACCAACGUAUGAUAGUACAACAUAACCAGAAAAUUCUUUAUCACAUUCACUAAAUAUUCAAUUGAUUAACAUCAGGAAAAACAAACCACUAGAAUUGAAUCAGCCAAAAAUAAAGUUCCACUCUAAACCUUAAAAUUAAUACCCCUAUUAUAACAAAACAAUACAAGACGAUGAGGCCAAAGUAAAACCAAACUGAAAAUAAUGAAAUUCUACUUGUAUAAUAUAUCUGUGUGUUUGGAAGUCACAAAUCGUACCGAUAGUACUGCAAUCCAGGAGGAAUUGUAAGCCGAAAGAGAGACUGACCCAAUCGAGCGAGAGAGAGUGAUUCCAAUCUACCGAGAUGAGAAGAGCAGAGCAUAGCAGCCGGUCGUUUACGUUAGAGAAGUCGAGCAGAGCAGAAAAUUGGCCACAUCAAAAAAAUUUAAAAAACUAAUUGGGAAAUGCUGUGGAUUUGGCUGCGCACCAAAUCAGAGGGGUUUGGGGGUUUUACCGGAAUCAAGAAAGCUGGGUUUUUGUGGGGUUUUGCUGUUGUCAAUCACAAUUAGCAAGAGGUGGGUUUAGGAAUUGGAGGCGUUGAAACCAGCUGAAGCAUCUCUUGACAAAUGAGCGAGAAGAGUGCUAGAGCUUACGCACAAUGUCUAGAAGAGGGCUAUGUACUUAUCUAAGCUUAUACGAUGAUUAAGGGCAGGCACAUCACAUGGCUAACUUUCAUGUUCACAUCAAUUUGGAGCUUAAAAAACACUAGUUAACUAAGUAGGUUUACAUCUAAAUCGUCUUUUGUGUUUAUGACUUUAUGCUAUAUAAACUAACCAGCUGUGUCCGUACCUUCGGC